GCGGAGCUUGCACCUUUGGCAGUGCUGUGCGGCAGUUUAGUCGACACCGCUUAGCUGUUGAGUGGGAUCGAUAUCUCUUCGCGAGAGCGGCAUCUAGUCAAACAGACGAUAGCCUUCCUGUGCACAAUGCAACGAAUUUCUACUUUCACCCUUGGCUAUGCCUUUGCACUAGGAACGCUUGUACUUGCCAAUAUUUCUAUACCCAAGAGCAAGAUGGACGGAUGGACGGCCUAUUGCUAACGUCACCAUGAAAUUUCUGAGCACCGUAAAUACCUCUCGGUACAACACAGUAGAAUCCAAGAUAAAUAGAAGUUUUUAUGGUUACUCAUUGCCCCCGCCACAUUGGAGAUUUUUAUAUACAGAAGUUAACUGUACUGUUGUAAAAGUCCUCUCCGCUAGGCCUGGGAGGAUAGGGGUUUCCAAGAGAGCGGACAGCAAACCUGAAUUGAGAGAAAUAAAUAAAUAUUGCGAACUUUGGGUUGCACAAUGGACUCAAUGGAAGACGGGCUCGUACAAGCAAGCAGAGGCCAGCGCCAACUGCAGUGCAGCCUUUGAACUCAUGUGUAAUACAACGACUGUUUACAACGUGUCAGAGGCCAAGUACUGUGGACCAAAUUUAAUAAAAAGCUA